CAUGUGGGUCAUGAACCCAGGUCUGGAAAAUUGGAUAGUGUCGACAUCUCAACUCUUCGAUCUUCAGUAACCCUAAAACAGACAGGCCAUUAAUCUCUUUGACAUCACAUCUCUUCGCCCUUUCCCCUUCUUCAGCGGAUCGUUCAAUCAACACCAUAUUCAUGAGUGUGCAAUGAAUCAUCUGGAAAUCUCAUUAAUGGGUUCCUUUCGUCUCCCUCUCAGAUUCUUUAUAUCAUUCAUAUUUUCCCUCACAUUUGUGACACACAAAAUUCUCUCAAGCCAUGAAUUCUAACAGCAAAUCAACCGUUUCCGGCGAUUUUACCACGAAGAAACCGAACGGAAAGGAUGUUGUCUCCUCCGCGAGCCGGUCGAACGAGACGGGCAAACCCAAACCUUCAUCUCUAUUGCUAAAUAUGUUUCCGGUGAUCCUAAGAAGAGAUGACGAGAGUAGAUGAGCAGUAGGGGUUUCUUUAAUUGGUUCAAAGUAUAUGGCUGCUUCAAUCUCAGCAAGACUUAUUCGCACUGUUGGAUCCUUUGCAGCUUUAGGACGCAGCAGCAGUAUUAUCUCAGUUUCUAAGCUCUUUCUUAUAUGCAAAAUUGUAAAUCUUUUUUUUUUGUUGAUCUCUAAUUGCUUCUCUUUCUCUUUGGCACAGCAAAUGCAUCUGGAAAUUUUUUAAGCUCUCUUCCAUGUAAUCUAAAGGUUGAUGUCUACAUCACUUCGAUUGCAUAUACAGACUCACCAAAUCGAAGUAGUCUGUUGGCUUAUACACAAAUAUCUUAUUGGCGUCAAUGUCGUUCUCGGAUAUGAGGUACCACCAUCGUUUCUUUUUUGAAAUGCUCUCUUUGUGAUUGUAUCUAUGUUGAGUCUAAUCUACAGAUGGAGCAAAUGCGGUUGGGGAAGACUCUACAAGCAAUUUUUUCUUGAGCUAUCUGAAGUUUCAUCAAGGAUUGCGAGGGCCAUUUCUUGAGUCAAUGAGAUCUGCUUCUUAAAGACAAGUUCUGAUGUUGUGUUGUUUAAUGUUGUGUCUUGAUUUGGCAGUUUUGCUUUGUUCUUUUAACAUAACCGAUGGUUGGGUAAAAGGUUCACUCCAGAACUUGAAGUUUUUAGGUAUGUUGGUGAUAAGGAUUGCCGUAGGGAUUUGUAGGGAUUUGCGUAAGGUAAUGCAUGAUUAUGUCAACAAGGGCUCUAAGACGAGAGUAAAUUUUUUUGUCUUUCUCAAGAAACUUUGGGUUUAUCAGCUGUGUAUAAUUAUAUUGUUUUGUUUGUUUUGUUUCAGAAAUCUUUGUUACCGUUUGAUGUGUUGUUGACAACGUAUGAUAUAGCAUUGGUGGAUCAAGACUUCCUUUCUCAGGUUCCGUGGUAACUGAUGAAGCUCAAAUACUCAAGAAUCCCAACAGUGUAUGUUACCUACCUAGAAAAAUUCAUCGAGUUGUGAAAUGAAUGAUAGAUCAUUGGUUAGUUGAUACUGUGAAUUCAAGAUUAACUUCCAUUCAUUUCACACAUCUCUUAUGUAGCCGUUUAUAUGGAUUUAUUGUAUCGGUUUACUUUCCAGCCGAAAGCUCUCCACUUCUAUUUUGACUCCUGAUUGUACAUU